CAACUACACCCUCUGUCCCAAAUUUCUUGUCUUAGAUUUGUCUAGAUACAAAUGUAUCUAAUACUAAAAUGUGACUUGAUACAUCCGUAUCUAGACAAAUCUAAGACAAGAAUUUUGGGACGGAGGGAGUACUUU
rnacentral:pre_miRNA from 1 species